GAUGAACGCUGGCGGCGUGCCUAAUACAUGCAAGUCGAGCGAACAGACGAGGAGCUUGCUCCUCUGACGUUAGCGGCGGACGGGUGAGUAACACGUGGAUAACCUACCUAUAAGACUGGUAUAACUUCGGGAAACCGGAGCUAAUACCGGAUAAUAUAUUGAACCGCAUUGUUCAAUAGUGAAAUACGGUGUUGCUGGCACGUAUAGAUGGAUCCGCGCCGCAUUAGCUAGUUGGUAAGGUAACGGCUUAUCAAGGGAACGAUGCGUAGGCGACGUGAGAGGGUGAUCGGCCACACUGGAACUGAGACACGGUCCAGACUCCUACGGGAGGCAGCAGUAGGGAAUCUUCCGCAAUGGGCGAAAGCCUGACGGAGCAACGCCGCGUGAGUGAUGAAGGUCUUCGGAUCGUAAAACUCUGUUAUUAGGGAAGAACAAAUGUGUAAGUAACUAUGCACGUCUUGACGGUACCUAAUCAGAAAGCCACGGCUAACUACGUG
rnacentral:rRNA from 1 species